UACGUCUUCGGACCAAAGUGGGGGACCUUCGGGCCUCACGCCAUCGGAUGUGCCCAGAUGGGAUUAGCUAGUAGGUGGGGUAAUGGCUCACCUAGGCGACGAUCCCUAGCUGGUCUGAGAGGAUGACCAGCCACACUGGAACUGAGACACGGUCCAGACUCCUACGGGAGGCAGCAGUGGGGAAUAUUGCACAAUGGGCGCAAGCCUGAUGCAGCCAUGCCGCGUGUGUGAAGAAGGCCUUCGGGUUGUAAAGCACUUCAGCGAGGAGGU
rnacentral:rRNA from 1 species